ACCCUUCGAUUUAUUCCGUCCGCCUCCUUCUCUCUCGGCUAAGGAACCAUGAGGGCACGAUUGGCUUUCUUCUCCCUUCUUGUGACGCCAUCGGCAUCAACUCCAUCUCUUCCCUUCUUCCCUUCGGUGUUCCGGAGUGGGCAGAGCUGUGCGGUGGAGGUUGACUUCAUCCCUUCUCUGGCAAUGAACCAUCUACGACGAAGCUUUCCAGCAGAACAGCGGUGGCGAUGGCGGGUCUUGGCAGCAGCUGCAACGGAGGGCUUCUAUCAACUCCGGCGGCGGAACAUCGGUCUGGUCCGGCGUAGCAGUUCCUAUGGCGGUGGCUUGUCCUCCAGUGAAGCAGAGCAUGUAGCGGGCGGUGACGCGGGUGGAGGUGCUCCCCAUGUUCCACCGCGGUAUCUCCACCUCGAAGCCACGGUGGUGGAUGUUUCUCCGGCGAGGCAGCUCUGACGGUGGUGGGUAUCUCUCCGGCGAAGCAGAAUGGCGGCAAGGUGGCUGGUGGUUGACGCCGGCAGGGUCCAAGGUGGCAGUGCGAAGAAGAUGGGGUUUUCGUUUGGCUUAUGAGUUGAGCUUAGCCUAUGAUGGCGCUGUUUUUGGAUGUUAAGCGAAUGAGGUUGGGUAGCUUUGGAGAGCGCGCUAGUGGCCUGUAGAUAGAUUAUCUCUUCCUUUAAUAGUUGUUGAGGCCUGUGAGCCUAAGUAGUUGAUUUAUUAGACUGUUGUAGUUGUAGUAUCUGCCUGUGCACCUAUGUUUGAUAUAGGUGUGGCAUAGCAUCUCCCGGAUUUGUGUAGUUAGCUUCCACUUUUCUUAUGUUGAUGUUUAGACUGUUAAUCCCUUUAAAUUAAGUUUUAAAAGUUGUUGAAA